AAAUAUUAAAAAAUAAAUAUAACAUCUAAUUUUCAUUUUAUAGAUUACAUUCAAAUAUUUGCAAUAUAAAGUUAUUAUGGUUAUCUUUGUGCAAGAAACUUUGACAUAAUUCCAGAUUAUUUCCUUAGUAAAUGGAUAAAUAUAAAUGAAUUUUCUGGAUAAAAGGAAGUGUAGUAUUUUAGAUUUUUCACAGGUUAUCAAAUUGAUUUCAGAAAGUAUGUACCACUUUGCAUUCCUACAGAGGUUUUAUAAAUACCUCUGUGUCACUAUCCCUCAUUAACAGUAAAUAUUGUUUUUGUCAAUUCUAUAAAUAGGAAACAUAUGAUUGUUGCAGACAUUUAUCCUGUUAUUUGUCAUCAUGAUACAUUUUGUUAUAUGUUUUUGGGGUAUUCUGCAAAGUGUUUUAACCCUUUCUUUCUCUUUUAUUUCUAUUAAGGUAAAUUCAUUGAUUGAUUGAAUUGGGUUGUGCACAAAAAAGGAAAAUAAAAGGUAACACUUUGAGAAAAUAUUAGCACUUACAAAUCUAUAAGACAAAUAUUAAUGAAACUUCAUGGUCCAAGAUUGUUUGUACCUCUAUUUGCCUGAAAGAGCACAGUGGAAAACGUUUAAGGUUCUUAUUUUCUAAAGUUUUAUAUUUCUACAACAUUGAGCCAGUUUUCUAGAGGAGAGAGACUGAAGAAUGGCAGCCAUGCAACCGGAAAAUUCUGUUACUGUGAUGCCUGUUCCCACUUAGAUAGCUUUUUCUUAUUUUGAUAUAAAACCUUUCCCCCCUUUAUUUUGAUUUUUUUAGUCUUAAAUAAUCAUAUUGCCUUGCUUUUAUUAUUCUAUUUCUUAGAAUUUAAGGGUGUUUUCCUGACUUUCCUGAUGGAUGACCUUGCUAAAAAUUCCAGGCGACGCUGGUAUCCAGAGAGGGUUCUGUGUGAAAAGAGAUUCCAUGAGACAAAUGGAAGAACAAGGAGAGGCGAAAGGAACAAUAGAGGUCUUUCAGAAGCAGGUCAACAAACAUUGAUGCAGCAUUUUCUUUGUGCGUGUUGAAGUAACAAUGAGCCUCAGAACUUCUAAUAAGCAGCAUAAUUGCCAUGUGGAGAAGGCUACAUUAUACAACACCAAUUUCUCUCUGAAGAUCCACCACCUCCGGAUGAAUGUUACUGAUUCCUACUGUCUAUUUCAUAGAUCUUCAACUCUUGUUCUUUUGUUUAAAGAUAUGAGUCUAAGCUUAGACAUAUAUGAUGCUUUCAAUUCAAAAAUGUUGUUUAGAAAAGGCGCUCAUUUAAAGAAUUUGCUGAAAGCUAAAGGAUAACCAAAGCAAAAGGCACACACAGGGUAACAUAAAUCUAGAAUAUAUGUUUUGCCAUAUGUAUUUUUCUCAUUUCCAAUCUAUUGUUAAAUACAUGGCAUCCUCCUACCACACCCUUACUUCCACUAGGCAGAGCAUCCAUUUAUUCUCUACCAUGCACAAGUCUUUGGCUUCAAAGUCAUAGGUUUCCAUGGUUACAGUUCUUCAUUGGUGUUCUUAUUUUCCUCAGGUAACUGAUAUUAAACUGGACUUCCCUCUCUUGCUCAAACCUCUGAGGUCCUCAUAGGCUAGAUUAUCAUCAAUAUAAUAUGACAACCUUAAGAUUCAUAUUAAACACAAACACUCUUGGUAAUUGGAAGGGAGAAAGUGAGAGGGAGGAGUCUUGAAAGAGAAUAUUGUUUCAUUACCUUUUCUUUCAAUUUUUGGGUAGCUUUUAUGGUCGUAAAGUAGCCUUUGGGAAAAAAUAUUGGAGACACUUGCAGUUUUAAGGCUUUAUCAAUGUCUGGUAAUGUGAUGUGGAGAUGAUAGAGCUUAAAUGUGAUGUGUUAAGCCACUGUUUCAGCACAUUUAAGCCAUGACUAAAAAGAGAAUUAUGAAUAUACCUGUAAAAAAGGAUAGAUGAGAAAUAAAGAAGUGUUGAAGCAUUCGGAUGACUAGUGAAGGAAAUCUCUUAGUCUAAAUUGGUCUGAUAGUCUUAAAAUGUGGAAUAGAACGUGGAGAAGAGUCCAUAACUAUCGAGCCAUAAGAGUGUAAUACAUACUAGAAGGGUAUUUGGGGGCUCAGGAGGAGGUGGGGAUGGUUAGCAGGUACAAAAUAAAAUAGAGUGAAUGAAUAAGACCUAC
rnacentral:lncRNA from 1 species